rnacentral:rRNA from 1 species
GAUGAACGCUGGCGGCGUGCUUAACACAUGCAAGUCGAACGAACCUUCGGGUUAGUGGCGGACGGGUGAGUAACGCGUGAGAAUCUGCCCUCAGGAGGGGGAUAACGGCUGGAAACGGCCGCUAAUACCCCAUAUGCCGCGAGGUGAAAUGAAUUUCGCCUGAGGAUGAGCUCGCGUCUGAUUAGCUAGUUGGUGGGUAAGAGCCUACCAAGGCUUCGAUCAGUAGCUGGUCUGAGAGGAUGAUCAGCCACACUGGGACUGAGACACGGCCCAGACUCCUACGGGAGGCAGCAGUGGGGAAUUUUCCGCAAUGGGCGAAAGCCUGACGGAGCAACGCCGCGUGAGGGAUGAAGGCCUCUGGGCUGUAAACCUCUUUUAUCAAGGAAGAAGAUCUGACGGUACUUGAUGAAUAAGCCACGGCUAAUUCCGUG